rnacentral:rRNA from 1 species
CGGCGGACGGGUGGAGUAAUGCCUAGGAAUCUGCCUGGUAGUGGGGGACGAACGUUUCGAAAGGAACGCUAAUACCGCAUACGUCCUACGGGAGAAAGCAGGGGACCUUCGGGCCUUGCGCUAUCAGAUGAGCCUAGGUCGGAUUAGCUAGUUGGUGAGGUAAUGGCUCACCAAGGCGACGAUCCGUAACUGGUCUGAGAGGAUGAUCAGUCACACUGGAACUGAGACACGGUCCAGACUCCUACGGGAGGCAGCAGGA